UAUACCGUGAAACUGCGAAUGGCUCAUUAAAUCAGUUAUCGUUUAUUUGAUAGUACCUUACUACAUGGAUAACCGUGGUAAUUCUAGAGCUAAUACAUGCUAAAAACCUCGACUUCGGAAGGGGUGUAUUUAUUAGAUAAAAAACCAAUGCCCUUCGGGGCUCCUUGGUGAUUCAUAAUAACUUAACGAAUCGCAUGGCCUUGCGCCGGCGAUGGUUCAUUCAAAUUUCUGCCCUAUCAACUUUCGAUGGUAGGAUAGUGGCCUACCAUGGUUUCAACGGGUAACGGGGAAUUAGGGUUCGAUUCCGGAGAGUGAGCCUGAGAAACGGCUAACACAUCCAAGGAAGGCAGCAGGCGCGCAAAUUACCCAAUCCCGACACGGGGAGGUAGUGACAAUAAAUACUGAUACAGGGCUCUUUUGGGUCUUGUAAUUGGAAUGAGUACAAUUUAAAUCCCUUAACGAGGAACAAUUGGAGGGCAAGUCUGGUGCCAGCAGCCGCGGUAAUUCCAGCUCCAAUAGCGUAUAUUAAAGUUGUUGCAGUUAAAAAGCUCGUAGUUGAACCUUGGGCCUGGUUGGCCGGUCCGCCUCACCGCGUGCACUGGUCCGACCGGGCCUUUCCUUCUGGGGAGCCGCAUGCCCUUCAUUGGGUGUGUCGGGGAUCCAGGACUUUUACUUUGAAAAAAUUAGAGUGUUCAAAGCAGGCCUAUGCUCGAAUACAUUAGCAUGGAAUAAUAGAAUAGGACGUGUGGUUCUAUUUUGUUGGUUUCUAGGACCGCCGUAAUGAUUAAUAGGGCCAGCCGGGGGUGUCAGUAUUGCGUUGUCAGAGGUGAAAUUCUUGGAUUUACGCAAGACUAACUACUGCGAAAGCAUUCACCAAGAAUGGUUUCAUUAAUCAGUGAACGAAAGUUAGGGGAUCGAAGACGAUCAGAUACCGUCGUAGUCUUAACCAUAAACUAUGCCGACUAGGGAUUGGACGAUGUUAUCUUUUUGACUCGUCCAGCACCUUACGAGAAAUCAAAGUCUUUGGGUUCU
rnacentral:rRNA from 1 species